rnacentral:lncRNA from 1 species
AUUUAGUAUUUCGUCAAAAAAAAAGAGAAGUAAAUGCCUGCGUGAUAAAUUGAGAUCUUUUGUUAUUUUUGCUUGUUGUUCAUGGUCGUUACAAAUUUUUGUUUUGAGUGUGAGCUGCACAUUCUAUUAAUAGCUAUCGGUACAGCAGACGUAAUUAACAAUACUUACACCAAGAUGUAAAUGUUAAAUGAAAUUAGGUACCCUGCAUUUCUCAUGCAUUUCAAUAACACAUAUGGUCAAAUUGCU